rnacentral:rRNA from 1 species
GACGAACGCUGGCGGCGUGCCUAAUUCAUGCAAGUCGAACGAGUGGCGGACGGGCGAGUAAUGUCUGGGAAACUGCCCGAUGGAGGGGGAUAACUACUGGAAACGGUAGCUAAUACCGCAUACCAUCAGACGUGCCCAGAUGGGAUUAGCAAGUCGGUGGGGUAACGGCUCACCAAGGCGACGAUCCCUAGCUGGUCUGAGAGGAUGACCAGCGACACUGGAACUGAGACGCGGUCCAGAGUCCUACGUGAGGCCGCAGUGGGGAAUAUUGCACAGUGGGCGCAGGCCUGAUGCGGCCAUGCCACGUGUAUGAAGGAGGCCUUCGGGUUGUAAAGUGCUUUCAGCGGGGAGGCGUUACCCGCAGAAGAAGCGCCGGCUAACUCCGUGCCAGCAGCCGCGGUAAUAC